AGCGAACGCUGGCGGCAGGCCUAACACAUGCAAGUCGAGCGCCGUAGCAAUACGGAGCGGCAGACGGGAGAGUAACACGUGGGAACGUACCCUUUGGUUCGGAACAACCCAGGGAAACUUGGGCUAAUACCGGAUAAGCCCUCACGGGGAAAGAUUCAUCGCCGAAGGAUCGGCCCGCGUCUGAUUAGCUAGUUGGUGGGGUAAUGGCCCACCAAGGCGACGAUCAGUAGCUGGUCUGGGAGGACGAUCAGCCUCACUGGGACUGAGACACGGCCCAGACUCCUACGGGAGGCAGCAGUGGGGAAUAUUGGACAAUGGGCGCAAGCCUGAUCCAGCCAUGCCGCGUGGGUGAUGAAGGCCCUAGGGUUGUAAAGCCCUUUCGGCGGGGAAGAUAAUGACGGUACCCGCAGAAGAAGCCCCGGCUAACUUCGUGCCAGCCGCCGCGGUAACAC
rnacentral:rRNA from 1 species